UCUAUAGUUUCCGCUUGCAUGUUUGAGAAUUCUAAUAUUUUUACUAUGUUUAUAAGAUUUUCAACAUGUCUAGAUUGAUUUUAUUCCUUAUAUUGUGCAGGUUGAGCAUGAUGUAUGUUAGGAGUGUCCUUGAAUGCAUGCCAAAGGGUUUGCAAAAUUUGUUUAUGACCAGUUUUGCUUUGGACGAUCGAUAUGUGUCCUAGAGUCUCAAUAAGUUGGUUAUUGAUUAUGAACCAUUGUUUUACGUUACUAAGGAAUUAGACCUAGCUACUGGUCCCACUAUCUCCUUUGAGUUGACCAUGUGCCUUGUAGAGAUGACUAGGGUAUAACCCCUCUUCAUGAACUAGCCAAGAGGUGUUAGGGUCUAUGUAGUAUAUAUACAAGUUGUCACCCUUAGUGAGUUACAGGAGUCAUAGAGGGUAUGUUAUUGAGAUAGUUUUAGUUGUGCUUCGUGGGGCAGCCAGGUUAGUUAUUAUCUCCGCUUAGAAGGGUGACUAACAGAUAAUUUACUGUUCUAGCGCAAGAUUGGGUGCGAACAAGUAAGUUACUAUCUCCGCUCGAAAGGGCGAUGCGACAAGUCAGUGACUGUUUUAGCCAAAAGGUGACGCAACAGAUAGUUAUAACCCAGCACCACUAGGGAAAAUCCUCUGGUAUGAGCUUAGUAUAUAGUCAGGUGUGAAGUACGUAUAUUACAUUAGAGCAAAAGGGCUCCUCCAUACUUACUAGACUUACCCUAGUCUCGACCUUUUCAGUUAUGAACUCGAAGUGGUAGAGCACUCCUUAGAGGAAGUAUGUAUAGGGUUUUUGGUGCGUAGAGACCUGAAAAGGUCAAUACAUGUAUUGGGC